rnacentral:rRNA from 1 species
UACGUAGGCAGCGAGCGUUGUUCGGAGUUACUGGGCGUAAAGGGUGUGUAGGCGGUUCUUUUAAGUUUGGUGUGAAAUCUCCCGGCUCAACUGGGAGGGUGCGCCGAAUACUGAGGGACUAGAGUAUGGGAUGGGAAAGUGGAAUUCCUGGUGUAGCGGUGAAAUGCGUAGAUAUCAGGAGGAACACCUGUGGUGUAGACGGCUUUCUGGACCAUAACUGACGCUGAGACACGAAAGCGUGGGUAGCAAACAGG